AUUUAUGGCUUCACCCCUCCGCUCUGCACCAUGUCCGUGACCUUGAACUCCAUGCUGUCUCUUCUGGAUGGGCUGCUAUCAGGAAUCCUAGGCAUGAUGAGCAGGCUGUCAGGGGAUGACAGGACAGAGGAAGAAG